AUGUUUCUGCUUCACGAAUAUGAUAUUUUUUGGACAUUUCUAAUAAUAGCAAGCCUUAUUCCUAUUUUGGCAUUUUCGAUUUCAGGACAUUUUGCCCCGGUUAGUGAAGGACCAAAGAAGAUUUGUAGUUAUGAAUCGGGUAUAGAACCCAUGGGACGGGCUUGGGUACAAUUCCGAAUACGCUAUUAUAUGUUUGUGCUCGUUUUUGUUGUUUUUGAUGUGGAAACCGUCUCUCUAUACCCUUGGGCAAUGAGUUUCGACGUAUUGGGUGUAUCCAUUUUUAUCGAAGCUUUGAUUUUCGUGCUUAUCUUAGUUGUUGGUUUAGUUUAUGCAUGGCUGUGGGUGUCAAAAUUGGCAGAUCUCGGGUAG
rnacentral:rRNA from 1 species